rnacentral:lncRNA from 10 species
AAAAAAGGACUUGCUUGCUCUGGUGAGUAUGGGGAGAGCCUCUCCUCAUGUGUAGGAGUGGCAGCAUAUUCCAGAGUAAAAACAUAAUAAUAAAAUAGUGAACACAUGCAUAGCUACUACUUUAUGCAGGCCUUGUUGUAAGUUCUUUACAUAUAUUCAAUGUUUUUCUCAUAGAAAGACAUUCUUAAGACUGUGAAGAGAGAAGAAAAGCAGGAAACAGAAUUAAGGUAUUUAAGGUACUUAGUCCAGGGCCUGGCACAUAGUAGGCACUCAUUAUUGUUGUUGCCAACAAAAGGUCUCAAGAGAACAUUCAGUCCCCUUCCUCCCCCUAGAUAACGACCCUCCAUAUUCUGAAGCAUUCACUGAAUCUUGCUCCACUAUCGUGCAGCCACAUUCCCACGGUUGAACAAAUCCCACGGAAGACAUCAGUAGGAACUACAGCUCUACUCAGGUAGUUAACACCAACCCUGGGCCCCCCAGCUUGGAUCCUCAGCUGAGGAUAUGCCAAAGAUAAGCGCCCAGCUCCCUCCUUCUCACUUUCUAUCAGUACUCUCUCUUGAGUGUAGAUUUGUUUUAUUUUGUUUUACUGGAGAAGGGGAGGAGGAGAGGUGGAGGCAAAAAAGGGGAAAGGAAACAGAGAAGGUAAGAUGCAGGAAUUAUUUCAGGUCUCAGUUUGGCAGGGGCUCAUAUGUAAAGCUAUUAUGUUCGAGAAAUAUAAAAGACUAAUACUUUUCCUAAAGAUUGAAACAGAAACAGUGGUGAUUGGACUGGGAAUUAUACCUCACUUCAAUGAACUCCAAAAGAACUUGAGUUGAUUGCUGAAGAAGUGAACAAAUAGUGAUCAAUUUGCUGACAACUGUAAAAGCGUAUGGGGUGGGUCACAGCCAUUAUAGCUUCCUGUGGAGUCAGUGGCCAACUCUAGGUUGUUACCCCACUGUAGCCAGCAGAGGUCUCUCUUUUAUUAAUCUUCAAUUUAAAAAAAAAACCUCUGGGUUGUUUAUUUCUAUUAUCCUUUUGAAGUCUCUUUCUAAAGCCAAAUAAAUAAUGAAUCAUUUGGCCAAAACAUCUUCGAAUACUGAAUCUAGUCACUUAGUAAAAAUGAAAGACAAAAAUGCUGAGCUACUUGAAGCAAAAGAUUCAGUAUUCACCUCUAAGCUAUUCAUUUGCUUAGAAGAUUCACGCCAAUCGCACAGCCAAAGAGCAAAACAUGGGCCAGACUCUAAAACAGCAAUGAGCAACUGGCUGAGUAUGACAAAGAAAAGGGAGCUCCAGCUAAGACUGGUAGCGGGGUGGAGCAGGAGGCUGGCGAGGUCCACUUCUUCGGAUCUCUGGUUCAGUAGCUGACACCAAGCAGGGCUCUUCCUUGAAUGCACUCCUUCAAAAGCCUCAGAUAUACCACUUGUGACCACAUCCCCUCUAACGGCCCAAGCACUACACAUUACACCCUCCUUACUUAAUGAAAUCAAGAGUUUUGGUUUUUGAAAACUCGAUUGUUUAUGUUAAGCAGCAUCAUGGAGAACUAUCAAGGCGAAAGCUUGAACUUUCUUUCCCACGUCCUAUUGGGAUAACCCCAACAUAAGACUAAGGAUUUCAAUUAAUAUUAGAUAAAGUGAGGAAACAAUAAAAUUUAUUUGAAGCUGCUCAAGUCACUCUCUUAUUUUAUUUUAUUUAUUUAUUCUUUUGAGACAGGGUCUCAGUCUGUCACCCAGGCUGGAGUGCAGUGGCGUGAUCAUGGCUCACUAUAGCCUUGACCUCCCAGGCUCAGGUGAUUCUCCCACCUCAGCCUCCCAAGUAGCUGGGACUACAGGUGCACACCACCAUGCCCAGCUAGUUUUUUUGUUUUGUUUUGUUUUUUUUGAGACAGACUCUCACUCUUAUUGCCCAGGCUGGAGUGCAGUGGCGUGAUCUUGGCUCACCGCAACCUCCUCCUCCUGGGUUCAAGCAGUUCUCCUGCCUCAGCCUCUCGAGUAGCUGGGAUUACAGGCACACACCACCACGCUCACCUAAUUUUUUGUAUUUUUAGUAGAGACGGGGUUUCACCAGGCUGGCCAGGCCAGUCUUGAACUCCUGAGUGAUCCACCCGCCUCAGCCUCCCAAAAUGCUGGGAUUACAGGCAUGAACCACUGCUCCCAGCCUAGUUGUUUGUAUUUUUAGUAGAGAUGGGGUUUUGCCAUGGUACCCAGGCUGGGUUCAAGUGAUCCACCUGCCUCAGCUUCUCAAAGUGCUGACAUUACAGGUGUGAGCUUAUUUUAUUUUAGUUUAGAGACAAGAUCUCACUCUGUCACCCAGGCCUGAGUGGCAGUGGUGGAUUAUAGCUCACUAAAACUGUGAAUUCCUGGGCCCAAGCGAUCCUCCUGCUUCAGCUUCCCAAGUAGGUAUGACUACAGGUGCUCACCACCAUGCCUGGCUUAUUUAUUUAUUUAUUUAUUUAUUGUAGAAAUGAGGCCUCACAUUGUCCAGGCAGGUCUUCGAUGCCUAACCUCGAAUGAUCCUCUUCGGCCUCCCAAGCAAUCCACUUUGGCCUCCCAAAGCACUGAGAUUGCAGGCAUCAGCCACUGUGCCUGCCAAGUCACCUUUAAAUUAUCCAGUGGCUUCCCAUUGCACUUAAAGUCCAAAAUUCCUAAUGUGGCUUAAAAAGCCCAUCACUCCAGCCACAGCACUCAUUCCUUCUGCCAUUGGCUCACUGCCCCCCAGCCACAAGCACAUUCUUUCAAAGCUCUUCUCUGACUUGCAGCCUUGGACUGUGUUCUGCUUGGCUCACUCUCCUUCCUUUCCUCCUUUCAACUGGUUAACUCAUGCUCAGCUUCCAGGUCUCAACUUGAAAGUCAUUUCUUUAGGAGGGAUUCUCUAACCCUCGCUCUAGGUCAGGGCCCCUGUUUCAAACUCUUACAGCAUCCUACAGGCAGCCACUGGAACAUAGGGGAAGGCACUGCAGGUGAGGGGGAUGGAAUGGCAUUUUUUAUUUUGUUUGUUUGUUUGUUUUAGAGAUGGGGUCUUGUUCUGUUGCUCAGGUGGACUGGAACUCCUGGGCUCAAGGGAUCCUUCCACCUCAAACUCCCGAGUAGCUGGGACUAUAAGUGGCUGCUCAGCUAAAGGGAGUGUUGGUGGAUUUUUAAAGGCCCUUUUCUUUUCAGUAAACACAGGCUGGCUUGGGGAAAGAGUUUCGAUUUUAGCCCCUGCUUGCUUCCUCAGUUAGUCACCUUGUCUGGGAUCCAAACUGCUACAGCAUGAAGCAGAAGCUCUGAGGUCCCUUCAUGGCACUCAUCCUUCACAACACUCACCUAAAUUCCAUGGAAUAAUUACAGCUGUGACGCCUUGUGGAGCUCCAGGAGGCCAGCGCUCCUGUUUGUGACCUUGAAGCCCACAGAGCCUGGCCUUAGUAAAGGCUCCCAGAGACUGCACGCGACAAUGCAGCAAUAUCUGGCACUACUAAGCAACCAUUAGGUUACACAUUCACGUGCUUUUUUUCUAGUGAGAUUAUAAACGUUUAUUGUUCAGCCUACGCUAUUAUAAGAUCAUCUUCUUUUGAUUCUGAAUAUGUGGUUUGUGGCCAAAAAUCAGGACUCUAGCUUCCCUGAAAAAUAACCUGAUCCACAGGGAUGGAAUGUGUGAUCUUGACUAGGAAACAAGAAUCACAGAGCUGUAAGCCAGAAGGAAUCUAUAAAUCAUCUUCGUUUAACUUCCCCACUUUACAGGAAAUCAAGAAUUAGAAUAUUCUCAUCUGCAAAAUGGAAAGAAUCGAUACAGUGGUCUCCCAUAGCCAAUAUUCUGAGAUUCUAAGAUUUGCCCCAGGUCAGUCACAUGGAGAGGGACAGCCAAAGAUUAGUCGGCUAACUUGAAAUGUAAAACUAUUUUCCCAGCACUAUGUCCUAAGUAACUAAUCUAAGGCAGGGAGUUGAUCUGGUGAAUUCCCAGGCGGAUUCCCUGAGUGUGCCAAGUGCCAAAGAUCAAGGAAUGUGAGUUUUGGGAUCAUGUUACCAGUAAAAUCCCAUAUGGCAAAAAGAUGGAAUAACCUCAAUUUUCCAUGGUUUGUUAAGAUAUCCUUGAGUUAAUGGGGAUAAUAUUUAUACCUCAUUUAUGUGCCCCAGAAGCCAAACCAUGUACACAAACAUGCAUACACUCCUCAUAACUCAUGUACAGAUUUAAUGGCAUCUGAAGUUAGAUAGAAAAAUGGAGGAAAAAUUAUUAAAGAAAUGCCUUGUGCUCUGCUAAUGUCCGAAAAGAAUGAGACCGUAUGUGAGACAUAAAAACUCUGAUUCCAUGUUCAAGAAAUUGUAAAAAUAAUUAUUUCAAAUUUGAAAUACCGGCUGGGCGCGGUGGCUCACGCCUGUAAUCCCAACACUUUGGGGGACAGAGGAGGGCAGAUCACCUGAGGUCAGGAGUUUGAGAUCAACCUGGCCAACAUGGAGAAACCCUGUCUCUACUAAAAAUACAAAAAAUUAGCUGGGUGUGGUGGCACUCAUCUGUAAUCCCAGCUACUCAGGAGGCUGAGGCAGGAGAAUUGCUUGAACCCAGGAGGCGAAGGUUGCAGUGAGCCGAGAUCGUGCCACUGCACUCUAGCCUCGGCAACAGAGCGAAACUCUGUCUCAAAAAAAAAGAAAAAAAAUUGAAAUACCUUCAUGGUUUUUUCCUUGUUAAAAUCUACUGUUAAAAAUGCAAACAGUACAUAAAUGUUUAAGGGAAAGUCUCUUCAUAAUCCUGCCCUCAGAAAUAGGAACUACAGAUGUUAAUGUGGUGGGUAACCUUCAAUUGUAUGCCUAUAUACAUGUGAAUUUUUAAAUUUUUCACAAAAAUACAUUCAUACCAUAGAUACUGUUCUGUGCCUGCUUUUGGUCUUAAUGUGCUAUGGAAACUUUAACAUUAAGCCAUAUAACUUUUUUUUUUUUGAGACAGUCUUGUUCUGCCACCCAGGCUGGAGUGCAGUGGCGUGAUCACAGCUCACUGCAGUCUAGACCUCCUUUCUUAGGUGAUCCUCCUACCUCAACCUUCUGAGUAGCUGUGACUACAGGCCUGUGCCACCAUAUCCAGCUAAUUUUUUUUUUUUUUUUGGUGUUUUUUGUAGAGAUGGAGUUUCACCACGUUGCCCAGGCUGGUCUCAAACUCCUGGGCUUUAUCCAUCUGCCUCUCUCGGUCUCCCAAAGUGCUGGGAUUACAGGCAUGAGCCACCCUGCCCAGCCAAGAUAUAUAACUGUUAAUACAUAUAAAGCUACCCAGGGUGUUUUAAUGGCUAUAAUUUGUACCCUUCUUGCAUAUACUAUGGUUAGUUCAAUCAAAUAAUCAAUUCUGUAACCCUACAUCUAAAGGGUUUUUAUUUGGUUGUUUACUCUUUUGUUCUUUUUAAAAUCUAAUAUUUAACAUUAUAGUGAUUACUUUGAUAAAUAUAUCUUUAGUCAUACGUCUGAUUAUUUCUCAAAAUUAAAUUCGUAGAAAAGUACAUGCUUUUUCUUUUUCUUUUUUCUUUUCUUUUUUUUUUUUUUUUGAGACAGAGUCUCACUCUGUUGCCUAGGCUGGAGUGGAGUGCAGUAGUGUAAUCUCUGCUCACUUCAACCUCCGCCUCCCAGGUUUAAGCGAUUCUCCUGCCUCAGCCUCCCAAGUAGAUGGGAUCACAGGCAUGCACCACCACACCUGGCUAAUUUUUGUACUUUUAGUAGAGACGGGGUUUCGCCAUGUUGGCCAGGCUGGUCUCAAACUCCUGACCUCAAGUGAUCCUCUCGCCUCAGCCUCCCAAAGUCCUGGGAUUACAGGUGUAAAGUUUCCAUAACACAUUAAGACCAAACCAUUUUAACUGUUUUUGCAUAUUUGAAUCUCUUUAUUAAAUGCCAAUUUAAAAUAUUUAUUUUUCUUAACGGUAAUAACAGCAGUAAUUAACAAUCACGGCGCCCAGCUGAAAAGUACAUACAUUUUAAAUGCGCAGUAUAUAAAAUGUGUGUGUAUGUAAGGGAGAUUUAAUAUUUUUCUCCAAACGGUUAGCUGUAACCUAACACCAUUUAUUGCAUAGCAUAGUUUCUCUCUACUAAUUAGACAAUUUAUGUUUAUCAUGUAAUCAACUCUUCAUGAGGCUUUUAAAAGAGAAUAGAGAGCUUGAACGAAAAGCCAGAAUAAGGUGAUGGUUUUGGAGAGACUGGUAUCACCAGCAACGUACAGGCAUUAAACUUAAAAGCAGGAAUGGAUGGGGAUGUGUUGAGAGCAUCAGCCUCUUACAUACUUAUAGUUGUGCUGGCCUUAAGAGGCUGAUUCGGGGGAUUUCUAUGUACAAAGUAAGGAGAUGCCACUAAGCUAAAGAUAACAUUAUUUGGAUGGGAGGGAUUUUACACUGAACCUGAAAGACGGUCGUGGCUUCCACGCAUGCAAACUCUUUGCUUCUUUGGUCACCAAUGAAGCUGGAAAAAUAUCACUAACCCUUAGGUAGAAAGGAGGGAAGCAAGGAUUAAACUGUCAAGAAAGAAUAAUGGCCGUCUUUGUAUCUGAGUGCCUCAAUUUCCCUAUAUUUAUAUAUUCUGUAUAUGGUUUAUAUCCCAAUAGUCUACAAUUGAGCAUGUUUUCAUUUAUUAAAAGCCUUUCAUAUUUUCUUUUCCGAUAACUGUGUUCAUAUCCUUUGCUUAUUUUUCUACUGGUUUGUGUUUUCUUCAUGGAUUUGUAGAAACUCUUUAUUUAUUGGGGAAAUUAACCCUGUGAUAUGUGGGUUGCAAACAUUUUUCCCAAUUUGUCAUUGCAUAUGUAUGUGGGUGUAUGUGCUACUGAUUUAUUACCACAAAUAAAUCUAUACCAAGUCCUUUCAGAAAUCAUUGGAAGUGACACUAAAUUCAACAAGUGCCUUAAAAAGAUUUUAUUGUGGUAAAAAUACAUAAAAUUUACCAUUUUAACUGUUUUUGCAUAUCUAAUUCUCUUUAUUAAAUGCCAAUUUAAAAUAUUUGUUUUUCUUAAUGGUAGUAUCAGCAGUAAUUAAAAAUAAUAAGACAUAUUGACAAGGUUAACAUAGUACUGGCUGUGGUUACUGGGAGAAGACAAAAUAAAAACUGGAUAUCCCCAUUAAUUUGAUUUUUUGUUUGUUUGUUUGUUUGUUUUUUUGAGAUGGCGUCUUGCUCUGUCGCCCAGGCUGGAGUGCAGUGGUGCGAUCUCGGCCCACUGCAAGCUCCGCCUCCCGGGUUCACGCCAUUCUCCUGCCUCAGCCUCCCGAGUAGCUGGGACUACAGGCGCCCGCCACCACGCCCGGCUAAUUUUUUUUAUUUUUAGUAGAGACGGGGUUUCACCGUGUUAGCCAAGAUGGUCUCGAUCUCCUGACCUUGUGAUCCGCCUGCCUCGGCCUCCCAAAGUGCUGGGAUUACAGGCGUGAGCCACUGUGCCUGGCCAAUUUGAUUGUUUACAAAUAUGUAAUGGUCAUUAUUAUAUACCAUGUAUUGGGCUAAAUACAACACAUACAUUAUUCCAUCGAAUACUUUUAAUACCCUAUGAGAGUUAUAAGCAUCCUCAUUAUAUAGACAAAAAAAAAAAAAACUUUUUUCUUUCUUUCUUUUUUUUUUUUUUUUUUAGAGGAAGUCUCAAUCUCGUCCCCCAGGCUGGAGCACAAUGGCAUGAUCUCAGCUCACUGCAACCUCUGCCUCCCAGGUUCAAGCGAUUCUCCUGCCUCAGCCUCUCCAGUAGCUGGGAUUACAGGUGCCUGCCACCACGCCCGGCUAAUUUUUGUAUUUUUAGUAGAGAUGGGGUUUCACCAUGUUGUCCAGACUGGUCUCCAAUUCCUGACCUCAAGUGAUCUGCCCGCCCUGGCCUCCCAAAGUGCUGGCAUUACAGGUGUGAGCCACCAUGCCUGGCCGAAAUAAAAUCUUUAAAAGGUGAAGUAACUUGCAAAUGGCAGUUCAGUAACUGGACUCAAACCCAGGCAGUAGGAUUCCAGAGCCUGAAAUUGAACCACUACAGCAUCUCACAAAUAAUAUGGCCCAGUACACUGUGUGAGAUUCUUUUAGACAUACCAUGGAUGAACUUUAAAUUUUUCCAGUGAGCCAGGCAUGAUGGCUCAUGCCUGUAAUUUCAGCACUUUGGGAGGCUAAGGCAGGAAGAUCACUUGAGACUAGGAGUUCAAUACCAGCCUGGACAACAUAGCAAGAACCUGUCUGUCUCUCUCUCUCUCUCUCUCACACACACACACACACACACACACACACACACACACACACACACACACACAAAGUUAGCUGGGCAUGGUGGUGUGCACCUACAGCCCUAGCUACUUGGGAGGCUAAGGCAGGGGGAUCACUUGAGCCCAGGAGGUCGAGGCUGCAAUGAGUCAUUGCACUCCAGCCUAGGUAACAGAGUGAGACCUGGUCUCAAAAAAAAAUGUCCCAGUAGUUGUAUAUUCUUUUUUAUUGUGGUUAAAUACAAGUAAGAUACAAAUUACCAUUUAAACCAUUGCUUUUUAAAUUAUUUUUAUAUUAUUAUUAUUAUUAUUUUAUUUUUUUAGAGCUGCCAGGCUGGAGUGCAGUAGUAAAAUCAUAGCUCACUGUAGCCUGAGCUGCGGCCCUGAACUCCUGGGAUAGAGCAAUCCCCUUGCCUCAGCCUCCAGAAUAGCUUAACUAUUUAUUUUUAUUUUUUAGAAACAGGUCUUGCUACGUUGUCCAAGCUGGUCUUAAAAUCCUGGCCGCAAGAGCUCCUCCCAGCUGAGCACAGUGGCUCACAACUGUAAUCUCAACACUUUUGGAGACCAAGGCAGGAGUAUCACUUGAGGCCAGGCGUUCAAGACCAGCCUAGGCAACGUAGAGAGAUCCUGUCUCUACCAAAAAGAAAAAAAAAUUACAUCUUAUGAAUUCUAUGUUUAUUGUCGUACUCAGAAAGUCUUUCCCCAACUCUGAGAUUUUUUUAAAAAUCCUUUGAGGUUUCUCCUUGCAUGUCUAUGGUUUCAUUUCUUUCUACUUCAUCCUCUUUAAUUCUUCAGGAAUUUAUCCUGAUGUGUGAGAUAAGAAUCCCACUUUAUUUUUUUUUUUAAUGCCGACAGAAUUAUAUUUAAAACUAGACAAAUUCAUUUUAAAUCCACAUGGGGAAAAUGGCAAGCAAAAGAAAACAGGAACAUUCUGGGGGAAAAAAAGGAGUAAAGGGACCCAUCGAGAUGUGGAGGACUCGGCCCACCAGCAAUUCAAACAUAUUCCAAAUUUACAGUAAUUAUAUUAUGGUCCUGAGUGGACAGACUGCUACAACAAAGGAACGAAACAGGAUGAUCAGAACCUAUUAUCAGAAUUUAGUGUAAAGAGGUGCAGAUGAAUUAGGGAGGACUGCCAUCUUUGUCAUGUUGGGUGUUCCCAUCCAAGAAUAUGGUAUACUUUUUCAUUGUGCAGGCUUCUGCUAGAGACCCAAUCUUAGAAUGAGCAUACUGCUCUGUCUCCCCACUUUCUUCCUAUCUCCUGAAGAGUCGCAGUGAGGCUCUGCCUGUGCAGGUUUUGUGUGGGGUCUAAAUAGUUUUUUUUGGCAGAGUCACAACUAACAUAUUGGAGUUUCCAAUCUUUCUCUUUCUUUCUUUUCUUUCUCUCUCUUUUUUUUUUUUUUUUUUUUUUUUUUGAGACAGGGUCUCACUGUUGCCCAGGCCAGCAUGCAGUGGCAUGAUCUCGGCUCACUGCAACCUCAGCCUUCCAGGCUCAAGCAAUCCUCCCACCUCAGCUUCCUGAGUAGCUGGGACUACAGGCAGCACCACCACACCUGGUUAAAUUUUUUUUUGUUUUUUGUAGAAACGGGGUUUCACCAUGUUGCCCAGGCUGGUCCAGAACUCCUGAGUUCAAGCGAUCUGCCCGCCUCAGCCUCCCAAAGUGUGCGGAUUACAGGUGUAAGCCAAUGUGUCCGGCCUCCAGUCUUCCUAUUGCCAUAAUGUGAAAAGCUGUGGUGACCAAGUCUGAGUUCAUCAGACAUAUCUAUACUAUAUUCCCAUAGUCUGGGCUUGAACCCUACAUUAAGUAUUAAACAGGCUGGGCUCAGUGGCUCACACCUGUAAUCCCACCACUUUGGGAGGCCAAGGUGUGAGGAUUCCUUGAAGUCAGGCAUUCAAUACCAGCCUGGUCAACAUAGCAAGACCCCAUCUCUACAAAAGUAAAAAAAAAACUGCUGGAUGUGGUGGCACACAUCUGUAGUCCAGCUACAUGGGAGGCUGAAGUAGAGGAUCUCCUGAGCCCAGGAGCUUGAGGCUGCAGUGAGCCAUGCUCAUGCCCACUGCACUCCAGCCUGUGUGACAGAGUGAGACCUGUCUUUAAAAGAAAAAUUAAUUAAUUAAUUAAUUAAAGAUUAAACAGUAGGUGUUAGAUGUUGGCAGAAUUCUAUUUAAAGGUUUCAGAGAUGCUAGGUAUGGUGGCUCAUGCCUGUCAUCUCAGCACUUUGGGAGGCCAAGGCAGGAGAAUCAUUUGAGGCCAGAAGUUCAAGACCAGCCUGGGCAACGCAGCAAGACUCUCUACAAAGUUAAAAAAAAAAAAAAAAAAGGUUUCAGAGCACACAUGUAAUUGCAGUGAUUCUGGAGGCUGAGUUGGGAGGAUUGCAUGAGCCCAGGAGUUGGAGGUUGCAGUGAGACAUGACCACACCACUGCACUCCAGCCUGGAUGACAGGGAGACUCUAUCUUUUAAAAAAAAUAAGAAGAAGAAUAAAUAAAUAAAUAAAUAAUAAAGCUUUCAGAGGCUGAGUUUGGGUCUCACUUUAAUUUGAGAAGUUAGGAUGGCAGCUAGAAGUUACCACCUACUCCUCAGUAUUAAUAGUCACCACUUUUAAAGAUGGGGCCUCAAGUUACCACAGGUGAUAGUCUUGAACAGUAAUGUCCAAUAGAAAUAUAAUUUGAGACACAUCUGUAAAUUGUCUAGUAACUCCACUAAAAAAGUAAAAUGGAAUAGAUGAAAUUCAUUUUAAUAAUAUAUUUUAUUUAGCCCAAUAUGACAAAAUAUUAUUUCAAUAGGUAAUCAAUAUUAAAAUUAUUAAUGAAAUAUUUAACAUUUUCUCUUCAUACUAAUUCUUGGAAACGUGGUGUUUAUCUCAUAUAGCACAUCUCAAUUUGGACUAGCCACAUUCAAGCGCUCAAAUAGCCACACAGCUCUACAAGAUGCUAAUGAGCAAGGAAAGUGGCUUAAUUUAGUGGAAAUCCAGAAAUGCCAAGGUUGGAAAUACAGUUUCACAGGGGUCUGGAAUAGACUUUGAAAUCACUAGUCCAAAUACUAUUUGAUAUUUGAAUCUUGUCUACAACGUUCCUAUCAAGGGGUCAUCCAAGACUAGUGCUUGACUCACACUCCAGGGAUGGUGAGCUCACUGCUUCCUGAGGCUAGCGUGUCUUCAACUCAAAAAAGUUCUCAUUCCAUUAAAACACAUGUUUUCUUAUAGUGUCCACCCUGGUUAGGUGGGUUCCUGGAGGUCAGGAGUGACUAGCGGACUUUUAUGAUAUGGGAUUAGAGAUUAAGUGAACACAGCCUUGCUAAAGGCAUAAUCAGGUUGGUUUAUGGUCUUUCAUGGACCUUAAUUAAGAGGUUUGUUAGGCUAAGAAGGAUUGGGGGAGUUAAGAACUAAAAAAUGUCACCACUGAGUUAGAAACUGUUAGAAGGCUAGUGCUGGAUAUCUGGUUAAACUCGUCCGAUACACUGCAGCAAGACUAAAAGACAAAAAGAAAAAGGUGUGUAUCUAUGCAAAUUUCGCUAAUAUGGAGAUAGAAUUUCACUAAUACGGACAUAGGGACUGAGAGAAUCAUUUGACUUAUUAUAAACUUUAAAACAUAAUUGGGUUCUAAUUCAUAAAGAAUGUCAUUUCCAUUAGACCUGUAUUACAAAAAAGAAAAAAAAAGUCAUCCUAAAUCUUAACGUACACACGCUUUAUCAAAAGAAUUUCCGUACCCAGAAAUCAAAGGCACUUCAAAAGUCUCAUUUCGUAUCUUGAGUUUGUUUUAACAUAUUCCUCCCGCAAAAACGCUCUGGAAAUCAAAGAAAACUUUUUUAAAAUUUAAUUCAAUAAAAAUGACACCGACUGGCUGAAUUAUGAUGGGUUCUGAGUGGCGGUUGAAAUAACACAUUUUUCCUCUAUUUCCUCUUUUUUUUUUUUUUUUUUUUUUUUGGUUGCGAAGAGGUGUUCUUUUCCGGGCCACCUCCACCCUCCCGCACUCCCCAGUUCUACCUUUCCAAGGCAGGGGAAGGUGCAUCCUCGCCAGGCUCCUGCCCGCGCCUUCCGAGUACCCCUGGCCCGCAGCCGGUGACACGGCGCGCGGAACAUCCGUGAACGAGUUGGGUUACAUCUCUGUCCCCGCGAAGCUGCAGAUCGCUGACCGCCCCGCGCACCCCCGCCUGCCUGCACACUGUCAACCGCACUUAGGGGAAAUUUUUGGAACAGAAGCUCCGCCCAUCCUGCUCCCACUGCCUCCACUAACCGACUCAAAACCCCCACCUCGGGCCGCCGAAGCAGGUUUCGUCACACGAUCUGGGGGACUGUAUUUUUUACAAGAAAACAAGCAUCAAAAAAAAAAAAAAAUUCAAACUGCACGCGCCGGCCAAUGGGGAAGAAGUGGGAGGUGGGCGGAGGCCGCGCGCGGCGCGCGAGGCGGGGAGGGGCCCCGGGCGGGCGCGGGGGCUGGGGCCGCGGGAGAUUCGGCAAACGCGGCGGGCGCCCGGUUCGGGGCUUUUUUUUUUUUUUUUCUCUUCCCAAAACCGACUAGAGCGCGAGACUCCGCCUGAAGCUGCAGCUUCUCGGAUCCACCUUAAAUCUUCAGCGGACUCAGCGUCGGGGAAGCCGAAGAGUCCAACCUGCUCAAAAAAAAAAAAAAAAAAAAAAAAUCUUCGGGUCAAAAACUGUUCAAACUACUCUUUGAGAGCUCCUUUUGGGGUACGAUAAAGGAAAUGUAAAAACUGUAUAUCUGCUGUAUGGCUAUGGAGACUCAAAAUCCUCAGAUUUGGUUACUUACAUUAGCCAGUUUUUGGUUGUGUAGAUUAUAACAAGGAAAUACCCCGUUUCUAAAUAUAGAAAUUGAAAGAAUUUUUGUAUGACCAGUUAAAUUUCAAAAAUAGCUACGUAGAGUGCACACCAAUUUCUUAAGGGCCCAUAUGUUUGAAUAUUUUAAACAAGAUUUAUACAUUAGAUGGUCCAAACAAUUGCUUUAAUUCCUCACACUUCUCAUGUGUAAAUACAGAAUUUAGAGAAGUCACCAUGUUACUUUCAUUUUCAAUCCUGCAAAUGUGUCAGUGUACACUUAUGUAAGGAUUCUUUGGUUUUGACACAUUCAUAUCCUAGAAGACAUAAAUAUUUUUACUAAUGCAGACUUUUGACAACCUUAUUCAUAUGAAAAUGUAGCUUUUCCAUUUUCACCUUCUAAAGUUUUGUCCUCCCACACAGAGCUAAGUGGAAAACAGUAACUGCUAACUACAUUCGGACUACAUAAAACAUCAUCUGAGUUGUGGGCCUGAAUUACCUAGGUAUUUGCCACUUCACAUUUACAUUUGUGUAAAUAUGACUAGAAUGCCAGGUCAAAUACCUUGUUUGGUAAAGCACAUUACAAUUUGACUCAAUGAAUAGCUAUGGAAGUUUUCUUUAUUGAUUACUUAAUGUGUAACAAUAAUUGGCAUCUUUUUCACACAUUACAAAAAAUUAUA